rnacentral:rRNA from 1 species
CGGACGGGUGAGUAAUGUAUAGUUAAUCUGCCCUUUAGAGGGGGAUAACAGUUGGAAACGACUGCUAAUACCCCAUACUCCUUCUAUGUUAAUCAUAGUUGGGAAACGUUUUUUCGCUAAAGGAUGAGACUAUAUGGUAUCAGGUAGUUGGUGGGGUAAGAGCCCACCAAGCCAAUGACGCCUAGCUGGUCUGAGAGGAUGAUCGGCCACACUGGAACUGAGACACGGUCCAG